AAUAGAUACCCAGGUAGUCCACGCCGUAAACGAUGAGUGCUAAGUGUUAGAGGGUUUCCGCCCUUUAGUGCUGAAGUUAACGCAUUAAGCACUCCGCCUGGGGAGUACGGCCGCAAGGCUGAAACUCAAAGGAAUUGACGGGGGCCCGCACAAGCGGUGGAGCAUGUGGUUUAAUUCGAAGCAACGCGAAGAACCUUACCAGGUCUUGACAUCCUCUGACAACCCUAGAGAUAGGGCUUCUCCUUCGGGAGCAGAGUGACAGGUGGUGCAUGGUUGUCGUCAGCUCGUGUCGUGAGAUGUUGGGUUAAGUCCCGCAACGAGCGCAACCCUUGAUCUUAGUUGCCAUCAUUAAGUUGGGCACUCUAAGGUGACUGCCGGUGACAAACCGGAGGAAGGUGGGGAUGACGUCAAAUCAUCAUGCCCCUUAUGACCUGGGCUACACACGUGCUACAAUGGACGGUACAAAGAGCUGCAAGACCGCGAGGUGGAGCUAAUCUCAUAAAACCGGUUCUCAGUUCGGA
rnacentral:rRNA from 1 species